GCUUAGUGAGGUCUCCGGAUUGGCUUUGGGGAGCCGGCAACGGCACUCUAUUGCUGAGAGGCUGAUCAAGCUUGGUCAUUUAGAGGAAGUAAAAGUCGUAACAAGGUUUCCGUAGGUGAACCUGCGGAAGGAUCAUUAUUGAAUAUUCUUGAUGGGUUGUAGCUGGCUCUUCGGAGCAUGUGCACGCCUGUCUUGACUUUAUUCAUCCACCUGUGCACCUUUUGUAGUCUUGGGGGUUCAGAGCAGUCGACCGUCGGACGGACUGUCCGGAUGUGAGGAAUGCCGAGUGCGGAAGCAUGCGGCUCUCUUCAAAAUGACUUGCAAAGCUUCCCUCGAGUACUACGUAUUCAUACACCACGUCGUAUGUUGUAGAAUGUGAUCAAUGGGCUUAUGUGCCUAUAAUAAUCAUAUACAACUUUCAGCAACGGAUCUCUUGGCUCUCGCAUCGAUGAAGAACGCAGCGAAAUGCGAUAAGUAAUGUGAAUUGCAGAAUUCAGUGAAUCAUCGAAUCUUUGAACGCACCUUGCGCUCCUUGGUAUUCCGAGGAGCAUGCCUGUUUGAGUGUCAUUAAAUUCUCAACCUCACCCAUUUUUGUAAUGAAAGAGUGUGUGUAGGCUUGGAUGUGGAGGCUUUGCAGGUCCGCCAUACCGGUGGUCUGCUCCUCUGAAAUGUAUUAGUGGGUUGUUCCCCUAAUCUAUUGGUGUGAUAAUUAUCUACGCCGUGGAUCAGUUGGUAACGAUAGACCUGCUUCUAACCGCCCGACUCGGACAACAUUUGACAUUUUUGACCUCAAAUCAGGUAAGACUACCCGCUGAACUUAAGCAUAUCAAUAAGCGGAGGAAAAGAAACUAACAAGGAUUCCCCUAGUAACUGCGAGUGAAGCGGGAAAAGCUCAAAUUUAAAAUCUGGUAGUCUUUGGCUGCCCGAGUUGUAAUCUAGAGAAGUGUUACCCGUGCUGGACCGUGUACAAGUCUCCUGGAAUGGAGCGUCAUAGAGG
rnacentral:rRNA from 1 species